UCUAAUUACAAUGGGUUGCAUUGCAGUUACUUGUGCCACAUUUUGCAUCUUUCGUAUUUACAUUUACACUGCUGCUCUCGUGGUUUUUUCCUCAUAUCGUUUCUCAGUUACAGUGGGGACUGCCCUAUAGUAACCAGUGCAAAACUCGGACUUAAGUAACAAAAGGAAUAAAUAAAAAAUCCGUUUCACAUGUUUUUUAAUCAGAAUUAAAAAGCUAAUAUACAACAUUGAAAACAAAGGUUCACACUGUAGUUUGUAUAUGCGGGUUUUUACUGUAGGCGACGAUUGCUCUGUUUAAGCAUUGUUUUUUUUUGUAAUCCCGCAAUUACUAUUAUUAUUAUGGUUGUUAUUGCUAUUGUAAUUGUCGCGCUUAAGGUUUUUAACGUUAAAUAUUGCUUUCUUGUUGAUGUUUUAUAAUACUUGAACUAUAACGCCAAUUAGAUGCUAUUUCAGUUGGCAAAAUGUUAAAUCAAAACCUGGAAAAGCAUUAAGUGACCUUGCCUAAAGUCGAUGGAAACAUAACAAAAAAUACGAAAGGAAAUUCAAUUUACACUGGAAUUAAGUUAAAUAUUAUUUGAGAUUAAUAGUUUUUCAACAACACAGCUACACCAUGGGGGAAAGGGAGGGAAGAUAGAAGAAUUUAAUCCGAUUUGUGUAGCAACCUCUCGCUCUUUCUCUUUCUUUCCUUCGCUCUCCCCCACACAAAUACACGCACACACAUACAUAUAUUCUACGAGAGAGCGAGAGCGAAAUAUGUAAAUACAGCCUGUUGCAUUUGUGUGUGUAUUUCGCAUUUCGUUUUCAGGCACUUUUCCGCACAUUUUUGAUUGCUUUUAGUGCGUUUUUCCGUGCAGUUUUCCUCACUUUUCCACACAGGCAAUUGGAAAUACACACCAGCACACUCGAAACACACACAAACGCACGCACUCGCACACAGUUUGCAUGAAGUAUUGCAUUUUCUUUUUGGACUGAAAGAUACGCAAAUUCCAGCUGCAAACGUUGCAUUUUCACCAGGCAUUUUCCACAUUUACCUUCGCUCCUU